rnacentral:rRNA from 1 species
UUGAAGAGUUUGAUCAUGGCUCAGAUUGAACGCUGGCGGCAGGCCUAACACAUGCAAGUCGAGCGGUAGCACAGAGAGCUUGCUCUCGGGUGACGAGCGGCGGACGGGUGAGUAAUGUCUGGGAAACUGCCUGAUGGAGGGGGAUAACUACUGGAAACGGUAGCUAAUACCGCAUAAUGUCGCAAGACCAAAGUGGGGGACCUUCGGGCCUCAUGCCAUCAGAUGUGCCCAGAUGGGAUUAGCUAGUAGGUGGGGUAACGGCUCACCUAGGCGACGAUCCCUAGCUGGUCUGAGAGGAUGACCAGCCACACUGGAACUGAGACACGGUCCAGACUCCUACGGGAGGCAGCAGUGGGGAAUAUUGCACAAUGGGCGCAAGCCUGAUGCAGCCAUGCCGCGUGUGUGAAGAAGGCCUUCGGGUUGUAAAGCACUUUCAGCGGGGAGGAAGGCGGUGAGGUUAAUAACCUCAUCGAUUGACGUUACCCGCAGAAGAAGCACCGGCUAACUCCGUGCCAGCAGCCGCGGUAAUACGGAGGGUGCAAGCGUUAAUCGGAAUUACUGGGCGUAAAGCGCACGCAGGCGGUCUGUCAAGUCGGAUGUGAAAUCCCCGGGCUCAACCUGGGAACUGCAUUCGAAACUGGCAGGCUAGAGUCUUGUAGAGGGGGGUAGAAUUCCAGGUGUAGCGGUGAAAUGCGUAGAGAUCUGGAGGAAUACCGGUGGCGAAGGCGGCCCCCUGGACAAAGACUGACGCUCAGGUGCGAAAGCGUGGGGAGCAAACAGGAUUAGAUACCCUGGUAGUCCACGCCGUAAACGAUGUCGAUUUGGAGGUUGUGCCCUUGAGGCGUGGCUUCCGGAGCUAACGCGUUAAAUCGACCGCCUGGGGAGUACGGCCGCAAGGUUAAAACUCAAAUGAAUUGACGGGGGCCCGCACAAGCGGUGGAGCAUGUGGUUUAAUUCGAUGCAACGCGAAGAACCUUACCUUGGUCUUGACAUCCACAGAACUUUCCAGAGAUGGAUUGGUGCCUUCGGGAACUGUGAGACAGGUGCUGCAUGGCUGUCGUCAGCUCGUGUUGUGAAAUGUUGGGUUAAGUCCCGCAACGAGCGCAACCCUUAUCCUUUGUUGCCAGCGGUCCGGCCGGGAACUCAAAGGAGACUGCCAGUGAUAAACUGGAGGAAGGUGGGGAUGACGUCAAGUCAUCAUGGCCCUUACGACCGGGCUACACGUGCUACAAUGGCAUAUACAAAGAGAAGCGACCUCGCGAGAGCAAGCGGACCUCAUAAAGUAUGUCGUAGUCCGGAUUGAGUCUGCAACUCGACUCCAUGAAGUCGGAAUCGCUAGUAAUCGUAGAUCAGAAUGCUACGGUGAAUACGUUCCCGGGCCUUGUACACACCGCCCGUCACACCAUGGGAGUGGGUUGCAAAAGAAGUAGGUAGCUUAACCUUCGGGAGGGCGCUUACCACUUUGUGAUUCAUGACUGGGGUGAAGUCGUAACAAGGUAACCGUAGGGGAACCUGCGGUUGGAUCACCUCCUU